GACUGCUUCGGUGGCCUAGUGGUUAGAGCGUCCGCUUUGGAUUCGGAAGGUCGUUGGUUGUUGGUUCGAUCCCUGGCCGAGUCA